AUACCCAUGAUGCGGGCAUGCAAGUAACAACUCUUUAAAUCUCUCCCAACACUGAAAAAAAGUUUCAUUCUCCUUUUGAGAGAAAUUCAUUAUGUUCCUCCUAAGUGU